GCUGGCUGCAGCAGUGCACACCUGUAAUCCCAGCAGCUAGGAGGCUGAGGCAGGAGGAUUCCAAGUUCAAAGCCAGCCUCAGCAACUUAGUGAGGCCUUAAGCAACUCAGGGAGACCUUGUCUCAA
rnacentral:sRNA from 1 species